rnacentral:rRNA from 1 species
UGCAGUCGAACGGGAUGCUUUCGGGCAUCUAGUGGCGGACGGGUGAGUAACGCGUGAGGAACUACCUACAGGACUGGGACAACAACUGGAAACGGUUGCUAAAACCGGAUGUGCCGAGAGGUGAAAUAUUUUAUAGCCUGUAGAUGUGCUCGCGUCUGAUUAGCUAGUUGGUGGGGUAAAGGCCUACCAAGGCGACGAUCAGUAGCUGGUCUGAGAGGAUGAUCAGCCACACUGGGACUGAGACACGGCCCAGACUCCUACGGGAGGCAGCAGUGGGGAAUUUUCCGCAAUGGGCGCAAGCCUGACGGAGCAAUACCGCGUGAGGGAGGAAGGCUCUUGGGUCGUAAACCUCUUUUCUCUGGGAAGAAUAACUGACGGUACCAGAGGAAUCAGCAUCGGCUAACUCCGUGCCAGCAGCCGCGGUAAUACGGGGGAUGCAAGCGUUAUCCGGAAUUAUUGGGCGUAAAGCGUCCGCAGGUGGCUAAUCAAGUCUGUUGUCAAAGCGCGGAGCUCAACUCCGUACAGGCGAUGGAAACUGGUUGGCUAGAGUUAGGUAGGGGUAAGAGGAAUUCCCAGUGUAGCGGUGAAAUGCGUAGAUAUUGGGAAGAACACCGGCGGCGAAAGCGUCUUACUGGGCCUAAACUGACACUGAGGGACGAAAGCUAGGGGAGCGAAAGGGAUUAGAUACCCCUGUAGUCCUAGCCGUAAACGAUGACAACUAGGUGUUGCCCGUAUCGACCCGGGCAGUGCCGUAGCUAACGCGUUAAGUUGUCCGCCUGGGGAGUACGCACGCAAGUGUGAAACUCAAAGGAAUUGACGGGGGCCCGCACAAGCGGUGGAGUAUGUGGUUUAAUUCGAUGCAACGCGAAGAACCUUACCAGGGCUUGACAUGUGCAGAAUCCUCUUGAAAGGGAAG